GUCUACGGCCAUACCACCCUGAACACACCCGAUCUCAUCUGAUCUCAGAAGCUAAGCAGGGUCGGGCAUGGUUAGUACCUGGAUGGGAGAGCGCCUGGGAAUACCAGGUGCUGUAGGCU
ensembl:rRNA n-R5s25 nuclear encoded rRNA 5S 25